CCUUCUUCUUGAGGAGGCUCUUGGUUGCUGCUGUGAUCCUCUGAGGUUAUCAGAGUCUCACUUCUUCAUUUUUACAAACCAGACUCUGCCAGCGAUUCUCCAGAAGCCUUCAGUCUCAGACUCAGGUAGCACCUUUAAUUCCUCUUGUCUGGGGCUUCAGCUAUUGGUUCUUCCAGCUGUCCAGACUGCAGAUGGCCAUUGCGGACUAUCCAGCUUCUGGUCAGUGCUGGGAACAGAACCCAGGCCCUCAAGCAUGCUAACAAGCACUCUACCACUGAGCUACACACCCCAGCCCUCACUCACUUCUUUAUUUAAGAAAUAAGGAUGGGAGCCAAACAGUACCAUAAUCAUCAUCACCAACACCACCACGACCAUCAACAUGAUCAAAAAGAAAAGGAGCCAGGCACGGUGGCACGUGCCUGUAACCCCAGCAGCUGGGGAGGCUGAGGCAAGUUCAAAGCCAAUUUCAGCAACUUGGCUUGGUGCUUUGACCUUGGAGACCUUGCUCUUGCUGGAGGGAGCGUCCCUCCAGCGAUGAUCAGUUCCUAGAGGUGGCACAUUUCGCAGAAGGAGCCUGUCCUACACGGGCCGGCCAAUCCAGAGCGCACGCCCAGACGCCUCCUCGACCAGGUUCUCAUGCUCUGGGCCAUCUAGAGUUGUUCACUGCCCUGUCCCCCAGGGCAGGCGCAGGACAACUCCUGGCUACCUGUGUCCCACAGCCUGCUGAAGUCACUCCAACCAGCUGAUCCCAAAGCUACUUGCCCUGACAGUCACAUUUCUUCCCAUGAAAACCACAGCCUGCAUUA